CACACGGCAAUGAAAUGUCUGUCAUUGGUACAGACUUUUCCCCCUGACGCUCGGGUUACACCGACUCAAACAGCGCUUGUCCACGCUGGUGAGUUCCCAGUUCCUACCCUUCCUGUCUGCGUGGCGGGUAAAGGAGGGAGGCCAGGCCGCUACGGCAUGACGGCCGGUGGCACCGACCCUGCGUUUCCAUCGGCGCCUGCCGUCCGCGCCAAGCCCGAAAGAGGUCUCUCCCGGCGAGGCAGCUGCUGGAGAGAUCAGCGCCUGCGUUCGCAACGCACCCGCUGAGAAGCCGAGCGCCAUGGGAGAACACUCCCAGAUCAUUUCCAUAAAUAUGAGUGAUAUGCCUCCGUUCCUCUUCGGUGUGCAAGUCCCUGAGGGAGG
ensembl:lncRNA